CUGUCGGCUCAGAAGCGAAGUGCAGGCGCGCUGCUCUUCCGGUCCCUUCUGAGCUCAGCCACAGAAGCGAGAGCAGCUGCAUGCUAAGCGGAAGAGAAAACUAGGAGAAAACUUCGGAGUUUACCUGUGAAAAGGAAAAAAACAGUUGGAGCACUUACCCACUGGAGGUCCGGAGCCAAGUGACUGAACGAAGGAGAGAGUUACGUCGGCUAACCACUUGCCUUUCACCCAGAGAGCUGCGGCAAGGCGUGUUCCGCCUUGAUAUACAGAGAGCAACGGUCAGGUUUUUUUGGAGGACUGAAGAGUCUGAGGUUCAGGACAAACUUCCUGCUGUAACAGAUGGCGAGCCAACCACCCUGAAGAAAGAUCAGCACCGAGAAGAUAUCCACGUACCCACUCAUUCACACACACAUUAUACAUUUACAUUACACUACAAAGACCUUUGGAAUCAGGUGAACUUGCAAUAAUCCUACAACAGGAAAACCUGCAACAACUCCUAUUUUACUUAAGGGCCCCAACGGACAUUUUUUUGUUUCAAGUGUGCACACUGGGUUUUUCUUAUUGUCUUACUGUUUGGGUUAUUAUUUUGCAUUCUGUACAAAUCAGACAAAUUGUUUUAUCCACUGUUAAAAAUUAUACGAGUGGCUACUCAACUAUUACCAAUGCGAUUGCCUCAUUAUUGUUGCACAGUACAGUGACUCCUCCCGAAUUUAGUGUCUUCUGAUGCUGGUCCAGGUAUUAUAAAUAGUCCAAGUAAUUAUUACACUGUAAUUCACUUUUAUAUCCCUAAAGUUGGUUACAAUACCUUCCAACUUCUUCAUCCUGAAGUCUCUUGAUGAGGGCGUCUGCGACAGGGGUUUCAGAAUCCACCUCCAACAGUGAGUCUUGUGUUUAGCAACAUGAAAUUUAUACGCCUUUACACAUUGCGUUUCGAGACCUGCUUUUAUUCUGAAGGAGAUGUGCACCAAUACACAGAAGUGAAGUAUUCUGUGAGUGCCGGGAAAUUGUUGGUUAUUGUUUGACGGUAAGUUCCGAAUACCUGUUCCGAAUACCUGUUCCAUGAAGAAGCCUGGAAUUAAUUCCUUAACAAUCUGUAUUUGGACAAAUUGUGAAAUUAUCAGGAAAAAAAAUAAUGGAAUCAUGUAAGGGCUUUUGUGGUGUCGAGAUCUCAAACAGCACAAUCUGAGGUUGGAAAGAGGCAAUACACACGGACAACUCUGGAGGCAGAUAUAUAUAUAUAUAUUUAUUUCAUACAAUAACAUUAAAUAAAAGUAAAAGUUAAAUACACAAACACACAAAGGUAAAUUAGCUCUGACUCCCUGACAUGCAUAAAUACAAAUGUUUAUAACGUUAAACAUACACAAAUAGAAAUGUUUAUAACGUUAAACAUGCAUAAAUAAAAAUGUUUAUAAUGUUAAACAUGCAUAAAUAUAAAUGUUUAUAACGUUAAACAAAUAAAACGUUAUAAAACAAACAGCCCUCUCCGUGCAGCCUCCGGCUCUGCAGGCACAUACUAUUGGCUUCCAUUACUGUAGCAGUGUUGCCAACUACUUUCUCGCUAAAUCUGGAGACUUUCCAAAGCCUCCUGGGGACUUUUUUUUUCUUUGCCAAAAGCCACUAGCAACAAAUCUAGCGAAUUUUUCUGGUUUUGGAGAGUCUGACAUAAGUGGCGGAUCUUCCGUGGGGGCACGUAGGGGUAGUGGCCCCCUCCUGUGUGCCCCCCCAAAAUUUUCGUUGGAAAUUUACAUUACUGAAGCUCCGAUUUCCGACGCUCUUGAACGCAACUUCGUUGUCCAACUGCAACUGAAUGCACCAAUGAUGUUAGUUUGAUCUUUUGAUUGUAUUUUGUUUGGAUCUGAAGAAGCUUCCUGAUGCUGGAGGAGAAGACGAGUAGCUUUGUACCUUUGCGAGUGAAAGUAGCAGUUCCUCCUGAAGGUCAGCGAUUGCAGCAUCUGAGGGCCUCUUCAAAAGAAGACGUAGUUGAUGAAGGCGUUCUGGAGCAGGACCAGAAAGACCACGACCAAGCAGCCUUGAGAUCUUAGACAGCGUCUCCCUCAGGUCCCUCUCUAUCUCCCCACACAUCCACCAACCACUGGAACACAUCUCCAAAGUUCUGCCAGACCACCUGCCAGAUGAAGGAGCCUUUUGAGAGGCAGCUGGCAUCGUGAUUGGACUGUACUUUGGUCUGUUCCAAUCCAGCUUCAGCUCCAGAGACGGCAGGCGGGACGAGUCAACGGAGGCCGGGUGGACGAAGGCAUGCAGCUGAGUACAAUCCAGAAAACAACAGAGGAGGAGUGCAGCGUCCCAGGGCCAGAACAAACAGAGUAGCAUCGUAUGUCUCUUAGAAAACAUCAUAGUAUAGCCUUUGGAUGAAAAAACGCCAUCAUAUACAUCGUAUAUUGUACAAAUAACAAGUCAAAGGAAAGAGACAUACAUUGUAGAAUUGUAGUAAUUGUGGACUGACUGAUUUACUGAUUAUCAGUAUUUUAUUUUUUACUGAUUUACAGAAAUAAAUACAUUUAAAAAUGGCCCUAUUUUGGCUCUGAACCUUUAUUUGUGGUCGCUCUGUCUUCUGGAGUGAUUUGAUUGGUUAUACAUCACAAAUAAAGCUCCUUUAACUUAACAUCUGUAAACAAAACAAAAACAUAU
ensembl:lncRNA